rnacentral:rRNA from 1 species
CCAAAGGGGUACGUAAUACCGGAUAUUCUUGCUUUUCAUAAGUUAUGCAAGCAAAGGUAGGCCUCCUGCAUAUGCUACUGCAUGAAGAGGGGUCUGCGUACCAUUAGCUAGUAGGUGGGGUAAUGGCCUACCUAGGCGACGAUGGUUAGCGGGUCUGAGAGGAUGAUCCGCCACACUGGCACUGGAACACGGGCCAGACUCCUACGGGAGGCAGCAGUGAGGAAUAUUGCGCAAUGGGGGAAACCCUGACGCAGCGACGCCGCGUGAGUGAAGGAAGGCCUUCGGGUCGUAAAGCUCUGUCAAGAGGAAAGAAGUGUACAAUGGCUAAUACCUGUUGUAUUUGACGGUACCUCUAAAGGAAGCACCGGCUAACUCCGUGCCAGCAGCCGC